UACGUAGGGUGCGAGCGUUAAUCGGAAUUACUGGGCGUAAAGUGUGCGCAGGCGGCCGAGCAAGUCGAGUGUGAAAGCCCCGAGCUUAACUUGGGAACUGCGCUCGAAACUACUUGGCUAGAGUGUGGCAGAGGGAGGUGGAAUUCCACGUGUAGCGGUGAAAUGCGCAGAUAUCAGGAGGAACACCGGUGGCGAAGGCGGGUCUCUGGGCCGAUACUGACGCUGAGGAGCGAAAGCGUGGGGAGC
rnacentral:rRNA from 1 species